rnacentral:tmRNA from 1 species
GGGGGCGUUAUGGAUUCGACGCUGGUGGCAAAUCCCGAGGUGCAUGCCGAGAGCGUAACGUAUCUCGUUAAUAAAACGUUACAAAUGAUAUAGUCGCAAACGACGAAACCUAUGCUCAGAAAGGUGCUCUCGCAGCCUAAACCUGCUUGAAAACCUGUUCUACCCGAAAGCGAUGUGCCCAUUCAUCGCGGACGGGCGUGAGCUAAAACUGAUGGGAUCGUGUUCGUGGGUGCCUUCUCCUCGAAUGCUAAAUCUUAGAAGGCUCGCGUCAGCGGAUCCUGCCCGUCGGAGCCGAUGACGUUAGAUCAAAAGACGGAACUAAGCAUGUAGAGCCAACGGACGAGUGCCGGCGGACGCGGGUUCAACUCCCGCCGCCUCCACCA